GGGUUGUGAGGUUAAGCGACUAAGCGUACACGGUGGAUGCCCUGGCAGUCAGAGGCGAUGAAGGACGUGCUAAUCUGCGAAAAGCGCCGGCGAGGUGAUAUGAACCUUUGACCCGGCGAUGUCCGAAUGGGGAAACCCAGUGUGUUCCGACACACUAUCGUUAACUGAAUACAUAGGUUAACGAGGCGAACCGGGGGAACUGAAACAUCUAAGUACCCCGAGGAAAAGAAAUCAACCGAGAUUCCCCCAGUAGCGGCGAGCGAACGGGGAGCAGCCCAGAGUCUGAAUCAGCUUGUGUGUUAGUGGAAGCGUCUGGAAAGUCGCACGGUACAGGGUGACAGUCCCGUACACGAAAAUGCACAGGUUGUGAACUCGAAGAGUAGGGCGGGACACGUGGUAUCCUGUCUGAAUAUGGGGGGACCAUCCUCCAAGGCUAAAUACUCCUGACUGACCGAUAGUGAACCAGUACCGUGAGGGAAAGGCGAAAAGAACCCCGGCGAGGGGAGUGAAAAAGAACCUGAAACCGUGUACGUACAAGCAGUGGGAGCACCUUCGUGGUGUGACUGCGUACCUUUUGUAUAAUGGGUCAGCGACUUAUAUUCUGUAGCAAGGUUAACCGUAUAGGGGAGCCGAAGGGAAACCGAGUCUUAACUGGGCGUUAAGUUGCAGGGUAUAGACCCGAAACCCGGUGAUCUAGCCAUGGGCAGGUUGAAGGUUGGGUAACACUAACUGGAGGACCGAACCGACUAAUGUUGAAAAAUUAGCGGAUGACUUGUGGCUGGGGGUGAAAGGCCAAUCAAACCGGGAGAUAGCUGGUUCUCCCCGAAAGCUAUUUAGGUAGCGCCUCGUGAACUCAUCUUCGGGGGUAGAGCACUGUUUCGGCUAGGGGGCCAUCCCGGCUUACCAACCCGAUGCAAACUACGAAUACCGAAGAAUGUUAUCACGGGAGACACACGGCGGGUGCUAACGUCCGUCGUGAAGAGGGAAACAACCCAGACCGCCAGCUAAGGUCCCAAAGUCAUGGUUAAGUGGGAAACGAUGUGGGAAGGCACAGACAGCCAGGAUGUUGGCUUAGAAGCAGCCAUCAUUUAAAGAAAGCGUAAUAGCUCACUGGUCGAGUCGGCCUGCGCGGAAGAUGUAACGGGGCUAAACCAUGCACCGAAGCUGCGGCAGCGACGCUUAUGCGUUGUUGGGUAGGGGAGCGUUCUGUAAGCCGUUGAAGGUGUGCUGUGAGGCAUGCUGGAGGUAUCAGAAGUGCGAAUGCUGACAUAAGUAACGAUAAAGCGGGUGAAAAGCCCGCUCGCCGGAAGACCAAGGGUUCCUGUCCAACGUUAAUCGGGGCAGGGUGAGUCGACCCCUAAGGCGAGGCCGAAAGGCGUAGUCGAUGGGAAACAGGUUAAUAUUCCUGUACUUGGUGUUACUGCGAAGGGGGGACGGAGAAGGCUAUGUUAGCCGGGCGACGGUUGUCCCGGUUUAAGCAUGUAGGCGGAGGUUCCAGGUAAAUCCGGUACCUUUUAACGCUGAGGUGUGAUGACGAGGCACUACGGUGCUGAAGUAACAAAUGCCCUGCUUCCAGGAAAAGCCUCUAAGCAUCAGGUAACAUCAAAUCGUACCCCAAACCGACACAGGUGGUCAGGUAGAGAAUACCAAGGCGCUUGAGAGAACUCGGGUGAAGGAACUAGGCAAAAUGGUGCCGUAACUUCGGGAGAAGGCACGCUGAUAUGUAGGUGAAGCCCCUGCGGGUGGAGCUGAAAUCAGUCGAAGAUACCAGCUGGCUGCAACUGUUUAUUAAAAACACAGCACUGUGCAAACACGAAAGUGGACGUAUACGGUGUGACGCCUGCCCGGUGCCGGAAGGUUAAUUGAUGGGGUUAGCGGCAACGCGAAGCUCUUGAUCGAAGCCCCGGUAAACGGCGGCCGUAACUAUAACGGUCCUAAGGUAGCGAAAUUCCUUGUCGGGUAAGUUCCGACCUGCACGAAUGGCGUAAUGAUGGCCAGGCUGUCUCCACCCGAGACUCAGUGAAAUUGAACUCGCUGUGAAGAUGCAGUGUACCCGCGGCAAGACGGAAAGACCCCGUGAACCUUUACUAUAGCUUGACACUGAACACUGGUCCUUGAUGUGUAGGAUAGGUGGGAGGCUUUGAAGUGUGGACGCCAGUCUGCAUGGAGCCGUCCUUGAAAUACCACCCUUUAAUGGCUGGUGUUCUAACGUAGACCCGUGAUCCGGGUUGCGGACAGUGUCUGGUGGGUAGUUUGACUGGGGCGGUCUCCUCCCAAAGAGUAACGGAGGAGCACGAAGGUUAGCUAAUCCUGGUCGGACAUCAGGAGGUUAGUGCAAUGGCAUAAGCUAGCUUGACUGCGAGAGUGACGGCUCGAGCAGGUGCGAAAGCAGGUCAUAGUGAUCCGGUGGUUCUGAAUGGAAGGGCCAUCGCUCAACGGAUAAAAGGUACUCCGGGGAUAACAGGCUGAUACCGCCCAAGAGUUCAUAUCGACGGCGGUGUUUGGCACCUCGAUGUCGGCUCAUCACAUCCUGGGGCUGAAGUAGGUCCCAAGGGUAUGGCUGUUCGCCAUUUAAAGUGGUACGCGAGCUGGGUUUAGAACGUCGUGAGACAGUUCGGUCCCUAUCUGCCGUGGGCGCUGGAGAAUUGAGGGGGGCUGCUCCUAGUACGAGAGGACCGGAGUGGACGCAUCACUGGUGUUCGGGUUGUCAUGCCAAUGGCACUGCCCGGUAGCUAAAUGCGGAAAAGAUAAGUGCUGAAAGCAUCUAAGCACGAAACUUGCCCCGAGAUGAGUUCUCCCUGAGACUUUAAGUCUCCUGAAGGAACGUUGAAGACGACGACGUUGAUAGGUCGGGUGUGUAAGCGCAGCGAUGCGUUGAGCUAACCGAUACUAAUGAACCGUGAGGCUUAACCUUACAACGCCGAAGCUGUU
rnacentral:rRNA from 2 species